ACACACACACACAAGACAGCAAGACAGCCAUUCCUAUCCUCAACAGCUACCAGAGCAGAGAGACAAAAUCUUUUUAUUACUUUGUUUUCCCCUGCUAUUCUUCAAUAUGGGCAUCUUUUGACAUCUUUUGCCAAACAGUGGAUUCAAAGCAUAUUGUGGACACAGUAGGCCUAUAUUGACGUGAGAACAUGCAGAAAAUGCUACUUUCUCUCAACCUCCUGGAUCAGCAUUCAGCAGCCUCGUGACACAGUUGAAGCCAUUAUCGAAUUCUUUGCGUGUACCGGUAUGUACCCUGGAUCAAGCAGCACUUGCAUUAUACAGGACAUUCCACCCAAAAUCUAAACCAUGAGUCCAAGCUGAAGAGGAAUAUUUCCAAAAUGAGGUCUACACACACACAGAGGUUACUUUCCCCUUCAUUAUAGAGAUAUCGAGAGAGAGAGAUGGGUGGGGGGGGG